GCAAUUAUUUUCCUUUCUGGUUUUGUGCUUCUUUCUCAUUUCCUCUGAUUUUCUGUGUUUUGAGUAACGACGAUGGAGAGGUCACCGACAACUUCAGGUCGCAGCAAACGUGAAAGCCCUUCACUUGUAGAACAGACCCAUCGUAGGAAGAGGCGAAGAAUAGUCACUGUAGAAUCUGAAAUCCAUGUUCAUGAGAAUAGAUAUGAAAUCUCAAGUUCAAGCAGCAGACGUUGGGGUUCCUCGUCUCACUGUAACGAUGAGAGGCAGAGGAGGAGAAGUAAAACGGAAUUUGUAGACAGUUAUCGCAAAUGGGUUUUCUCUCCACAUGAUUGCUCCCGUUACAAAGACAGGGUUGUCAUUGUCUCGUAUAAUAUCUUAGGUGUUGAAAAUGCAUUGAAGCAUCCGUAUUUAUAUCAUCAAGUCCGACCCCAAUUUUUAAAUUGGGACUGGAGGAAAAAGCUCAUCCGCAAGGAGCUUAAUCAUUACAAACCUGACAUUUUAUGUUUUCAGGAGGUCGACCAUUUUAGUGAUUUAGCUGAUCUUCUACAAAAGGAUGGUUUCAAAGGUGUUUAUAAGGUUCGCACAGGAAAAGCAAAUGAUGGGUGUGCUGUAUUCUGGAAAGAAGAACUAUUUACACUUCUGCAUCAAGAGAGCAUAGAAUUCCAGAAGUUUAGCCUUAGUGACAAUGUUGCCCAGCUUUGUGUUUUAAAGAUGGUUAACAGUCAUUCAGAUUCAAAUCGAUGUGCUAAUUCUCAAAUUCCACAGAGUACACCUUCUCGGAGUAUACUUGUUGUAAAUAUACAUGUACUAUACAAUCCAAAGCGUGGAGAUAUCAAGCUGGGCCAGGUGAGGUUGCUACUUGAGAGAGCACAUGCUAUAUCACAAGAAUGGGGCAACAUCCCUGUUGUUAUUGCCGGGGAUCUAAAUAGUAUGCCACAGAGUCCGAUAUAUCAGUUUCUUGCUUCAUCUUCGUUGGAUAUCCUACUACAUGACCGCCGAAAAAUUUCUGGCCAGAUUGAACACGAAAGAGGAUCAAGACCUUUAACAGCUCAGCUUGAGGAUGCACACAGGCUGUUGGCGUAUAGAUGGAGUGAAGAAGAAUUACGGCUUGCUGCUGGCUGUGAUGGAGUUACUCAACUUCAACACCAUUUAAAACUUAGCAGUGCAUAUACAGGAAUUCCUGGAAGCUAUCACACUAGGGAUAAUUGUGGAGAACCUUUAGCAACAUCAUAUCACUCCAAGUUUAUGGGAACUGUGGAUUAUAUUUGGCAUUCUCAGGGACUUCUUCCUGUAGGAGUUGUGGAAACCUUACCAGUUAAUAUUUUGAGAGAAACAAGAGGCCUUCCAAGCGAGAAGUGGGGCAGCGAUCAUCUUGCUCUGGUAUGUGAACUGGCUUUUGUGGACGACAGCAGAGUGACUUGACUUGCAACUCUAUGCAAGUCACCUACAGGCACGGACACAUCUAACAAUUUUGGGCAGCUUGGAGCUCCCAAUGGUCCCGCAACAUUUAGGCAUGUCUGGACAACAAAUUUCAGUGCUCACAUCUGUCAAUUGAAGUAUCAGAGCCAAAUUCACUGUCUUAAGAGUCUAGACUCUCUACUCCUUGGUAGAUAUUCAGCUACAAAGUCUCAGGACCCGGCAAUUACUUUGCCAGCUGAACAAAGUUCACUGAAGUUUUGAACUUGUAUUCUGGAGCCACAUUUUUGUUAGACCAAUUUUUUAUC